UACGUAGGGGGCAAGCGUUGUCCGGAAUCAUUGGGCGUAAAGAGCGUGUAGGCGGUCCGGCAAGUCGGCUGUGAAAGUCCAGGGCUCAACCCUGGGAUGCCGGUCGAUACUGCCGGACUAGAGUUCGGAAGAGGCGAGUGGAAUUCCCGGUGUAGCGGUGAAAUGCGCAGAUAUCGGGAGGAACACCUAUGGCGAAGGCAGCUCGCUGGGACGUUACUGACGCUGAGACGCGAAAGCGUGGGGAGCGAACAGG
rnacentral:rRNA from 1 species